UGGGAGUUUGUAUUAGAAAUAAGAGAUUGAGAUUGAAAUUGUGGUUUUAGAAUUUGAGGUUUGGAAUGGAAAGAAUAGAUUGAGGUUAAAGGGAUGAUGGGGUUUGGAAUAUAUGAAGUAGAAGAUAAGGAAGAUGGGGUUUAGGGAAGAUGAGGUUUGGGGUUUCGGAUUUUAGGGAUUUAAACAUAUUCCUCGUAAACGAGGAAAUAACGACGAAAAGAACGUGGGCCUCGCUAAUUCCUCGUAAAUAAUAACACCGGUCUUGCUAUUUCCUCG
rnacentral:lncRNA from 1 species